rnacentral:lncRNA from 1 species
AAGGGAGUCAGCAGGUCCUUUGAAUUUAGUACUGUCAAAAAACUUAUUUAGUAUGCAUUCCAGUCCUGCAUUCACAUCAUGUAUAAAAACAUCAGAGAGGACUGGCCUUAAAAUGCAGUCCCGUGGAGCCCUAGUAGUGACUGGCCACCAGCCUGAUGUGACCCCACUUACUUGAGCCCGACUGAUUGUUCAUGCAUUAGCUCGUUAUAAGUGUCAUUCAGACACCAGUCUUCUGAGAUGGGAAAGACCAAUGAUGAAAAGACCAGUGAUGUUUCUUCACUCCUUUCAGAAGAUAUUAACUCCAAGUUCUCUCCUCUCCCUGCCUGAGUCUAGUAUUGUCACACGGACAUAAAUAAAAUCUUACUGAUGUUGUUAUGUUACUUCUGCAUGGUCAGAAUCGGAUUCCUUUUGGACUAGGCAAGUUCCUGUCUUGCAAGAGUUUGGGCGUUGCAGAGAACAACAGGUGAAGGCGUGAAGUGCAACACUGAGAAAACAUGCACAUGCACAUAGGAUAAUCUCAGUGUCCCAGUUGUGCACUUGCAUGGCUAGGUAAAACAGAACAAAACAAGACAGCAACCUGAAGGGGACAGAGUGAGUGACUGGCUAGGUCCUAGCUGCCUGCUGGGGCCACCCUCCAAAGCCAUUUCUGGGACUGGAGAAGUAAGAUGUGAUGCCUCGGCAGUUGUUGAAUUUUUGAAACAGAGAACAGUCCUCCCAGUUUUCCUGUUUCACUGAUCUCAGAUUACACAUGCAUUACCUGUGAUCCUUGGAAAUGUAACAAGGUGCUAAAAUAAAUUAGAAAAUAAAGAUGUAAGCUUAAAAAG